rnacentral:lncRNA from 1 species
UCUCCAACUAUAAUACUAUGCCUUCACAGCUUUCAACACACAAUUACCCUCAUUCCAAUCACUAGAAUUCUUCACACAAAACUGCCAUUCACAUUACGGUGUUUCACACAAACACAGACUCAUUCUCUUUGCUAAACUACAAUCAGAUUUCAGUAUUCAAUCUUUCUUCUUCUCAAAUAAUACCAAUCACAUUUCCAUUCCAUAAUCCACUUCACAAUAUUCAAAAACUCUCAAUCCUCUUAUUCAAAGAAAAUAACAAACAAAAGAAAAGAGGUAGCACCAAGCUUACCCCGGCUCACAACUAUCACAGUGAUGGCACCUUAAUUAACUUCUACAACUCCUAUAUACUUUCUCCUAAUUCUCUAGAUUCUAAUCGUUACUUUGUAAUUAACUACUUUUAAUAACUAAAUCACUCAUCCGUCCUCCUGAAUUUUCUAUUAUAUGGACUAUUAAUAUAUUUUACCAAUAUCUUUCAAAAAUGAAUUAAUAUCUAUUCUACAUAGCCCAACUCCUAUCUGUAUAGUGUCCUCACAAACACUCAAUUGAUACUUAUCUAAAAAUUAUCUAACAAAACUCUACAAAAAUUGCGAACCCUCUAGCCUAUCUUAUUAAUCAAUUGCCAUAGUAUUUGUUAUUGGUUCCACCGAUUCUGGUUCCAACUACAAAUCUUCGUCCUCCUCCAGUCCUUCUAUCGGUUCCUGCCUCAACUGAGCUGAAAGGUCUUCAUUGUAUUUGCCCAGUUCACGGACUUGAGCUUCUAAUUUUAGGAUAUGGGCAUCUCUUAAUUCCAACUAGCGCUGAAAGUGACUCUUCUCUUUUAGAACUUUGGGAACUGGCAAUGUCGAUACUUAUGCUUGACCAAUAUUGAUUAAAUCCUCUGCCAAUCUUGUCACCUCGACAUUCAAGGCCUCAAUUUCAGCCUUUAACUGCUCCAUUUCAUAUCUGUAUUAGUCGCUUAAUAUCAAUUUCUCUUGUGCCAAAAACUCGAUCUUUACUUGUUCCAUUAUCAAUUGACCCUUCGCUUUUUUUAGUUCCAAAAUUGAAUGACUGCGAGCCCGGAAUAGUUCUUACCUACGGGUCUCCACCAUGCGUUCUCUUUCUUUAUCCUAAGCUUCCUGUUGUUUUCUAAUUUUUUGCUCCAAUAGCAGCUUGGAUUUCGCAUUCGCUUCGAUGAUCCGUUCUUGCUCUUCAAUUCUUUGGAUCUGCUCCAAUAUCACCUUUUUUCUUGCCUCUAAUUCCUGUUUACCACUGCUCUCUACAUCCAAUGCUCGUACCAUGUAAUGUAUUUGUGAAAUGUAUUUCAAUAGAGCAUUUUUAAGAUGUAUGCCUUCUGAUAGUCGGCCCUGUGGAAACGCUAACUGAUUGAUAUCUAACAAUGUCAGGACUUCAUUCUCUUUUUCCACCACCAAACAAAUCGGAUCCGUUUCCGGUUCCCCAAUUUUAUGUAUUAUCUCUAUUGUAUUGACAUUCUAUGCCAACAAAUUUUGUUCUCGUUGCAGAGGCACUGGCAUUGGUUCAAAACUUCCCUCUACUGGCGAUGUUUACCACAAUGUGUACGCGAUCACAACAUACACAUAAUUGGAAUAUAGCAACAUUGUAAACUUUCCUAUUUUGUGCUUGGCUCCCAUUUUUGCAUGAAUACGGGUUGCUACAUAAGCUGCCUAAUUGAACACCAUCCCUUCAAACAUCCCUACUGCUGCAAACAUUAACCGUCUUGACAUAUAUGUGUUGUAUCAAUAUAACCCUAGAUGCCUCAACACGAAGGGCGUUCAUUCCAUGAGCUGAGGUAUAAUUGCCUUAUUCGUCUGCCAACCUUGGUUCUUCUCAAACAAUGACAUGCCACCUUUGAAAUAACUUCCCGGUCGGAAGUCACUGGACUCCUCAACAUCCACCGCAAUCUCUCCAACUAGAAGAAACAAUAUUUUUUUGAGGAUCUUCUCAUCAAUACUGAUAACGCAUCCUUGUACUACGCUCAAUCCAUCCUAUGGGUCAUAGUUCGCGAUGUAUUCUUCCACUAAUGCCACAUUAAUUGAAGGCAAACUAUCUCACCUUCGUAAAAACUGAAACAUUUACGCGUUUCAAAAAUCUCAUAUUCUCCUUGGCAUCUAGCAAAUCUUUAGCUUCAUAGGCUCCAUAUUGGUAACAAUUACUACGGAUGGUGGUUCUAAAUUGCAUUCAGCUUUCACAUUUUGGCCACUUUUCUCUCUGUCUGUAGCUCUCUUUGCACUCUCAAUCGCCAUGACGCACACUCUUUCCAGCUCCAACUGUCAAUACUACCCUCCAGUACUCCAAAACACCCAAAAUUAUAACACCAAAAAGAAACAAUAACAGAAUGCGACACCUUAGAAUGACCGUAAAUGAGUGCCCCACUCUUAUUCUUUUACUUAAUAGUAAUAAUGACAACAUGUUACUCCUACUGUCCAUUUCUCACCUCUAUCUCAUCUAACAUAUUAGUAAUUACCAACUAUCCUUUCAACCACUUCUACAUCCUAACGUACUUAAUUAGGUCUAUCUUAAGUACAUUUGAUGUGACCUCCUCCAGAAAUUAAAAACCCGUCCCGAGUUUUAUGUAUGAUAUAACUGUAAUCGGUUCCCGUAAAUGCAGGCACUGAAUCGAUGACCCAUGAAAUCCUCCAAUUGAAUAGACCCAUUGAAAAACCCUUCAAUCACACAAUAUGGCCUAUGCCAGUGAACUUGAAAUUUAUCCAAAAAAUGAUUAAACUUGCUAUCAUACAACAAUACCAAAUUAUUGGGCAUAAAACUCUUUGGACGCAGUUUACUAUCAUAGUAACUCUUCCGCCAUUUUUGAGUUUCUUCCAUGUUGAAGAGAGAUGUAGCCCGUAUUUCAUCUAAUUUGUCUAACCCUGCCAACCGAUAUUGGAGUGAUUCCUUAUCUCCAAGACGUUCAUUCAACGCAAUGUGCAAAUUAUGAACUUCGAAUUCAAUUGGUAAUAUUGCUUCUUGCCUGUACACCAAUUGGAAUGGUGUAGAAUUGGUAGUCACUUUAUAUGCACUACGAUACGCCCACAAUAUCGCAAAUAAUUUAGUAUCCCAAUCUGUUCCUUCGCCCGAAAUUAUUUUGAUUAAAAUCUUACAUAAAAUACUAUUGGUCUUUUUCAUCUAUCCAUUGGUCCGAAGAUGAUAUGGUGUUGUUUUUCUAUACUUGAUUUUGUAUGUGUUCAUCAAGGCUGCUAUAGUGGCAUUUAUGAAAUGGAUGUCGCGAUCGCUAACCAAUUCUUUCGGACACCCAAAUCGAGUAAUAAUAUUCUCAUACAGAAAAGUGGCCACCGUACUAGCAUUAUCAUUGUGGGUAGCAAUAGCCUCCGCCCAUUUGGUUACAUAGUCCGUGGCGACUAAAAUAUACCACUUUUGUCCAUGUCUCGAUGUUGGUGCAAUGAGUCCAACAAAAUCAAUUCCCUAUUUCUCAAAUAGUGCCUAUGCCAAGAUUGGUACGAACGACAUUACUGAAGUAUCCGUGGGUUGACUAAUUUGUUGAUAUGGAUCACAACGACGAACAAAUUGGUGCACAUCAGAAAACAUUGUCGGCCACCAAUAUCCGGCCAUUAAAGCCUUGCGAGCAGUACUGUCACCCCCAAAAUGUCCACCACAACUAUCCAAAUAACAUCCCUCUAGUAUCGAUUGUACUUCACUAGAAAAGAUGCAACUGCGUAGAAUUCCAUCCCGGCCUUGCUUAUACAAGGUAUCUCCCAUCAUCGUAUACGGUGUACAUUUUAAAAUCAAUCAUUUCUUGAGUUUCUCACUAUAUGUAGGUGGAAAGUUCUGAAAUGUUGGAUAUUGGAUCAAUUCACUAUAGUCGGUUGUAAUCACUUUGACAGUAAAUAGCUGCGCGUCAGGAAGUGCAUCAUUAAUAGGCUCAUUAUUCAAGAUAUUGGACAAUCGGGACAAGUGAUCCGCAUUGGCAUGUUUCUUUCCUGAUCGUACAUUGAUAGUAAAAUUAAAUUCUUGAAGUAAUAACACCCAUCGAGCAAUGCGUCCACUCAAUUGAGGCUUAUUAAUCAUGUAUUUGAGGGCAUCAUGAUCCACAUAAAAGACAAAUGGAUACCCAAGCAAAUAGUACCGAAAUUUCUGAACCGAGUAUAUCAUACUCAAUGCUUCUCGUUCAAUAGUAGUGUAAUUACGUUCGGUAGCCACCAAUUAUCGACUAGCAUAAUAGAUAGGAUGAUCUAGAUCCUGGUCAUUCUUUUGACUUAGUACGGAUCCAAUAGCUACAUUGGAUGAAUCAACAUAUACAUGAAAGGGCUUGAUCCAACAAGGGGCCACCAAUAUUGGUGCAGAGACCAAUUCUGACUUCAAUGCUUCAAAAGCCACAGUACACUCUAUGGUCCAAAUGGAACUAGUCCCAUCUAAUAGAGGUUUCUUUAGUAAGUUCGUUAAAGGUUGAUAAAUAACUACAAACGAACAAAUAAAUCAUCGAUAAUAAGUGACAUAGACGACGAACCUUUGAACAUCAGAGACCGUCUCUGGUUUGAGUAAGUUCAUUAUAUGUGUCACUUUAUCCAGAUCCGUAGCAAUACUACGGCUAGAGACAAUAUGUCCCAAUGAUUUUUCUAAUGGAAUACUGAAUUGAUACUUAUCCAAGUUCAAUGAUAUCCCAAACUUAGCGCACAGAGCCAAGCAUUUGCCGAGACAAUUAAGAUGAUCUUGUUUUGUACUGAAUGAAAAGAAGUCAUCUAAAAAGAUCUCCAUAAAUAGCCAGAGAUAGUCUUAGAAGGCCUAAGUCAUCACUCUCUGAAACGUAGCUUAGGCAUUACAUAAGCCAAAAGGCAUUAUGCGAUAAGCAAAUGUGCUCCAAUCCAUAGUAAUGGUCAUCUUGAUAUGGUCUUCCAUUGCAAUUUGAACCUGAUUAUACCCAAAAAAUCCAUCUAGGAACGAAUAACAUUCAUGACCUACUAUAGCAUCCAAUAUACUAUCCGUGAAGGGCAAUAGAAAGUAAUCUUUCUUGGUGGCUGCAUUAAGUUUCCGUAAAUCUUGACAAAUUCGGAUUUUUUGAUUCUUUUUUGGCACUACCAUGAUUGAAAAAAUCCACUCAAUAUUUGGGACUGGGUAAAUAAAACCAAAAGCAAGAAGCUUGUCCAAUUCCUCCUUCACCAUGAAGGAAUAUUUAUGAUUAAGGUAAUGUUGCCUCUGCUGUACCAGUUUAGCAUUCUCCCCUAAAAUGAUAUGAUGCUCAUAGACUUCAGCGGGAAUACAUUUUAAAUCAUCAUAAAUCCAAGCAAAAGUGGAUUUAUGAUGCAAGAAAAAUUUGGUCCAGCAGGCCAACUCUUAUUCCUUAAUACCUUCAUAGACCUUAAUUGUCAGAGGUUCUACUGUGGUUGCCAAGAUGAUAGUUUGAUAUAAAGGUUCAAUGGCGAUGUUUUGUUUCAAUCCCCACACUGGUUUAAAUUCAGUCGGUAAGUUUGACAUGUACAAAGUAUUGAAUCCUGUGUCCAGGGAACUAAUAUGGUGCACAUCAUACUUGGUCAUCCAAUCAAUACUAAUAUAAUCCGAGUUUUUUGAGUCCAUCGGAUAUAUCAAGUACUCCCCCAAACCUCCACAUUGGUACACCACUCCAAGGUGUAGUGCUCCCUCGAUCGGCGCCUUCGUAAUUAGUACUAUUGCAUCAUCAUCAGAGCUAAGCUCAUCGUCCAACCUUAAUUCACAUGCUGGCAAUUGAGACUCCCUAUGAUAACAUACUAGAUACAUUUGUAACACCAUUUUGUCUCCACCCUUGCUAGUUGUCAAAGUACCAUGAUCCCAAUCGUUUUUUAUCUUUGCUUGAUAAAGCAACAAAUCAUCCCAAUAAAAUUGGAUAUGAUAAAAUCGAACGAUGUAACCGAAAGACGAUAUAGUCAGUUUCAUAUGCAAUAUCGAAAAUCAUAGUUUGAACACUCCAUAAGAUACACAUUGGUUUAACCCGACUAUGAUUUGUCAUCCGUAAUAUCAAUAUCAUGGAUACUAAGUGUUCCAAAUCUAAAGCAUUCAUUGUAUUAGCAUUCAUUAAAUUGAUGCUGGAUCCACCAUCCACAUAAACACCCGAGAUCAUAACACCAUCAAUCGAAACAUCGAUGGUUAGUGCACUUGGGACAAGGUUCAAACUGACUUCACAAACUUCUUUAUUACAGUGCCUAUGCCGUAUUAACGAUGAAUUCAAUGUAGAACGGUAUUCUAGUGCGACCGCUAGAAGUUGCUUCAUAGAAAUAGAAGGCCAAAUAGCAUCCAGAUCCUUCAGAAUAUCAUAGGAUUCCAUAUUUAAGGUAAUUCGUAAUGCCAUCUUUUUUUUCAUUGGUUUGAGUUUAACUCCAUUAGGUAAGAUAUUCUUCUGCCCUAGACUCGAAAUUGGAAUAAUAGUCGAGGCUUCUUUGGAAUUUUCACCUCCGAGAGGAUCUUUCAAUAGAUAGGACAUUUCUCAAAACUGCAUAGAGAUCGAAACUGCUUGGAAUGGAACCGAACCCUCCGUAAUUGGAACCUCAUUGGGUUGUGCUACCGAGUCAAGUUUCAUACUAGGUACAAAGCCCAUAACAAGACUUGGAUUCGAUGGUCCCCUAAUUGGAUCAAAUUGAUCUUUCGCAUCGAGAUUAUCCAAUUGUUGAAUUGGUCCUUUUUCCUUUCGCUGACUCCGGAUAAGAAUGGCUUGGACACAUUCCACCCGAUUUACUAGAGAAUCAUGAGGACUUCGAUUUAUCUCCUCAAUUUUUUCUUGGCUUUGGAUCUACUGAUUUCGAUUAUUGAAAUUGAAGGGAGCAUUACAUUACUGAUAUGUAUGCUCCGAUUGCUUACAAUUUCCACAAACUGGCGCAUAAUCGUGACUCGCUCUAGGAUUGGGACAUUCAUUGGUAUAAUAAUCAAUCUGUCUGCAACGAAAACAAUGAAGUGGUCUUCUUGUACUCCCAUCAUGCAUAUUGGAUAUCUCCACUGGCAUAUACUUACUAGGCUUGUUCCAUGUAGGAUUAGAAAAUGAUCCUGGUUGUCCCGUUGGUACUGAGGGAACUUGAUUUGAUGACGUCGAUAGAGCAUAUUGCUCAUACCUAUGCUCCUCCUUACCAUAGUUCUCGGGGUUCGAUACAGACCUCUAACUAAAAUUGGAACUUUGAAAGUUAUUAAAUACUUAAUUUUAUCGAUUAAAUCGAUUUCUAUUCCAUCCAAAUAUAUUUUCCGUUUGCUCUUGAUUGACGUCCCAUUGGAUUGGUGGAAUCAUGGUCUGAUUAUUAAAUUAUUGUUGUUGUCUUUGCCAAUUCCAAUAAUUUGCUAUUAGGUACUUUCUUCCGUAAAAUGUACAUUGACCCAUUUUUUGUGAGGGUGAGGGGCAUUCUGUUACAGAAUGAUUGUGGCCCUUACAAUUACUGUACCAUACAUUGGUCCAAGUAUUAGUAGGCUUUUGCCUCUUCUCUUUAUCUUUGGCCAUAUUGACGGCCAUUUCUUCUAUUUUCUUCGUCAAAUUCAAUAACAAGGUUUCUUUGGAAUCUUUUAGGGCUGGCAUUAUUAGUAUCUCUAUCAUAGUUAAUACUUGUUGUUGAUAUGAAAAAUAUGGAACAUACGUUGUUGUCACGUUCGGUGGUAUAACUUAUAAUGGAGUGACAUUAAUUGGCCCUUAAAUAUUAGUAUUGGAAUUAGCCCCUGUUUCUAACAUCCGUAGAUAACUACCCAUUGAUUCGUUCCAAGUCAGAUUUUGAUAUCUACUAUGAACUAGAAUCAUCAUGGCUCCCGCAGUUAAAAACUGAUCUUAAUGGCAUUCCUCCCAAACCUUUGCUCUAUUAAAGGAUACAGCCACUGUAAUGAGUUGAGCUUCCUUUACAAAUAUUUUUAGCUCUGGUGGGUGCAAACCAUUGAUUAAUAUGGAUAAGAUAAAUGCCUCCGACAUUUAGUGAUUCGGCCACUUACUGAGUAUAUCAGCCACUCAGCCAUAGUACAAUUCCAUCGCCUCUCUUAGGAUCAUUUUACUGUUCAUUAACUUUUCUCGAAGGCAGUCUUCAAAACCAAUUGGCCGAAAAAGAGAUAAAAAUGUAUUCUUCAAUGCUUGCUAAUUCGGAAAUUGAGCCAUUGGUUGGCGGUUGUAUCAUUCCAAUGCCGUGUCUUUUAAGGUCGCUAGCAGCCAUCGCAACCAAAUAUCUUCAGUUCUACCAUUAUUAGCUAUACAUGUUGUAAGAAACUGAAACAAAUAUUGAUUGGGAUCUGCACUCGAAAAUCUCCAAAAAGUAGGUAGUGGUGCGACACUAGUCAUACGAUUGCCUACUGCACCCAUUUGUACUACAAUCAGAACGGUUGGUCCUCCUGAAGCCAUUGAAUUUUUUGUUCCGCUAAACUCCAUUUUAAAAUAAUUUGUGUUUUUUCUUAAUCUAAUUUUUGAGCUUUCAGUGCUCCUUGAUUUACUGUUAUUUUUUGCAAAUAGUUUUAUUGGUUGAAUUAUAAGUGAAAACAUCAGAUUUUGAAAUACAAUAUAGUUAUCUUUAUUCGCAACCAAUUUGUGCCAAUCUUAAGAGCCCCUAUUGCUCGUUUCAAUGGUACCUCCUACUGAAAAAUUACCCAAUGGAGUACCAAAUUCUUCUACGUCUUCUUCUCUUUCAGUUAACGAACUCAAGAUUUCUACUAGAAUGUUAACAAAAUUUUCCGCGAAUGUUCUUGGUAGUUUUUCUAAUGGUACAUAUGACUGCAGAAAUAAUAGUCUAUGAGGUUUUUGAUAUGUUUGGAUGCACCGACAAGCUUGUAAUCAUGGUUUAAUCUAAUUUUAUCGAUGCUUCUUUUUAAGAUUACGUUCUUGCUCCUCAUUAAGCAAGUUCCUUCCUUGUGCUCUUCCCUGUCUAUCUCUCAACUGAUUUAUUUUCCUCAAUGCAAUGCUCUCGUUCUUAUUAACCAUAAUCUUGCUUCAAACACUACUGAAAUCGUCUUCUAUUGCCAAUUUUCUCACACGUUUGGUAAUUAAUUCAUAACACUCAAAGCUAUUAUCACUCCUCGGCAGUGGCACCAAAAUGUGAUUACUCGUUUUACUUAUUUCAAAUUAAUCUAAUGAAAAGAAACCCGUAUCUGGAGAUUCGAACAUGGAAAAUGACUAGUUGCUUAAACAUUCACGUUAGGGUCAUACAAUCAUUUACCUCCUGAAUGUAUCAUCUCUAUUUCUAAUAUUUGAACAUACAAGGAAACUAUAAUCCUCUCCUUCAUCUUAUUGGUCUCUUCCUUACAGCAAUUCAGUCAUACCAAUAACUGCUAUUUCCACCAAUAUAUUCACCCUCAUAAUUUUUAACUGUAAUAUUGCACCGUCAUAGCUUUCAACACACAAUUACCCUCAUUCCAAUCACUAGAAUUCUUCACACAGAACUAUCAUUCACAUUAUGGUAUUUCACACAAACACAGACUCGUUCUCUUUGCUGAACUGUAAUUAAAUUUCAGCAUUCAAUCUUUCUUCUUCUUAAAUAAUACCAAUCACAUUUCCAUUCCAUAAUCCACUUCACAAUGUUCAGAAACUCUCAAUCCUCUUAUUCAAAGAGAAUAACAAACAAAAGAAAAGAGGUAGCACCAAGCUUAUCCCAACUCACAACUAUCAUAGCGAUGGCACCUUAAUUAUCUUUUACAACUCCUAUAUACUUUCCCCUGAUUCUUGAGAUUCUAAUCGUAAUUCU